rnacentral:tRNA from 3 species
CCUUCGAUAGCUCAGUUGGCAGAGCGGGGGACUGUAGAUCCCUAGGUCGCUGGUUCAAAUCCGGCUCGAAGGA